GACGAACGCUGGCGGCGUGCUUAACACAUGCAAGUCGAACGGAAAGGCCUCUUUCGGGGGGUACUCGAGUGGCGAACGGUUGGUUAACCGGUAGUUACCUGGCCCUUACUUUUGGGUUACUUCAGGAAAAUUGGGGUAAUACCGGAAAGGGGCUCCCUCUGCCUGGGGGGGGUUGGGAAGUUUCCGGCGGUUGGGGUUGGACUCGCGGCUUAUCAGCUUGUUGGUGGGGUAGUGGCUUACCAAGGCUUUGACGGGUAGCCGGCCUGAGAGGGUGACCGGCCACAUUGGGACUGAGAUACGGCCCAGACUCCUACGGGAGGCAGCAGUGGGGAAUAUCGCACAAUGGGUGGAAGCCUGAUGCAGCAACGCCGUGUGCGGGAUGACGGCCUUCGGGUUGGAAACCGCUUUCGCUCAUGACGAAGCUUUGUGUGACGGUAGUGGGUAAAGAAGCACCGGCUAACUACGUG
rnacentral:rRNA from 1 species